AGCUCUCGGCGCUCGCCUGUGAUCAGAAGAAAACAGGAUGUGCCCGGAGCUGGAGCAGUGACAGCACGAGCCGACCGAGGCUCACCUGCUGGCGGUCUUUGUAGAGGCAUUUGAGGAUUAUUCAGCUCCGGAAGGUCUGUGCGAGGAAAUGCUAUCUCUGCAAGUAGGAGGAGGUGCCUACCCCUACCCGCCUUGAUUAUUGCCACCAAAAGGACUGCUCUGCUCCACGGUUAGAAGAGGUGAUUGCUAGCGUGGACAAGGUUAUGAGGAUUAUGAUCACAUGUGCAGCUCUGCAUAACUAUCCACUUGGAGAUGAUGCUGAUUCCUUAGAGAAUACGUGCAAAGUCCUGGUUAACCAUCAGCUUUCUGCGCUUUUCAUCCAAAAGAUUGGAUAAUUGCUUUUUAUCAGCUUUCUCUCUUCCUUUU